GUGCCUGCUGCAGCAGCACAUAUACUAAAAUUGGAACAAUACAGAGAUUCACAUGGCCCCUGUGUAAGGUACAUAAAUUCCACAGAUGAGUGAAAUAGUAUG
ensembl:snRNA U6 U6 spliceosomal RNA